AUAUAUGGUUUUUCAAUGCUAAGGAAACAGAACUACCUUUAGUAGGUUACUUACUGCCACAGGUGACAAAACAUCAAGCACCAAAACUCCAACCAGCAGUGUUAAUUUUUUUGUUUCAUUUCCUAUUUCUUUGGAUCAUAGCUGUGUGGAAAAGUUAUCUGUCAAGACUAGAGCUUGUAGUUCAAAGAGUAACCUUUCCAAACUCCUUUAUGUAUGUUGCCAUAGUUCUUCUGCAUAGCAGUUCCAGAAAUCUCUGAAAAACAUUGUCAGGCUCCUGCAGCAACUCAGAGAAUAUACCUUUAAAGGAAGUAGUAGGCAGGGAAGAAGUGCAUGCAGAAGUGGAUGGAGGAAAGCUUAAUGAUAACAUCAAUGAGGAACGUCUCUCCAGCAGAAGUGGAGCACAAGUCUUAAAGUGACCCACAAAAGUGGUGCACACUUUUGCAGAACAGUAAGCCAAGUGGUAAACUGAACUGGGCCUACAGUGUUGAGUGUGUUAUAUUACUGAAACUGUUCCUGUGGUUAAAAAAAGGAACUGAUGCAAAGAAAAGGAGCAAUCCCCCAUUCUGGAGCCAUGAAUGCCAAUUUUGAAUGCUAUCUUCUGUAAAACAGCUCAUUACCAUCCUAAAUUUGGAUGUUGUUCCAUGUGGAAGGAACAGCAAUGGAGAAAGGACUGGGAAUUUGAGGGGACAGGAAGCCUUCAUAUGGUGGAAGAUACUUGAACUGGAGAAACAAAAGGUUAUCGGCAGAGAUGUACAAGGAUAAGCACAUGUGGAGAAAAGGAGAGACAAGGCCAUGGAGGGCUUUGAAGAUAAAAAGGCUGUUUAUAGAGGCUUUCUCCCCCUGGGAAAUUUCCAGAAAGCGGAGUCUCCUGCUGUGUCUGGUGCCUUCUGCACCUAAGAUAAUUUGCUUCUCCUUAGCAACAUUCUUUUUCCUGGCAUGUUUGGAGUCCCCGAGAUGAACACUCUGAUAUCAUAAGGGGAAAUGAAUACAGAUGAAAAGGAAUGAUUCCAAAGGAAUGAUGACCUCUGUUUUUGAGGAUGGCUCCCUUAGGAAUGCAAUUUGCUCUUCAGCUCAAGAAACGUGUAAGAGGCAAA
rnacentral:lncRNA from 1 species